rnacentral:rRNA from 1 species
CAGCAGCCGCGGUAAUACGGAGGGUGCAAGCGUUAAUCGGAAUUACUGGGCGUAAAGCGCACGCAGGCGGUCUGACAAGUCAGAUGUGAAAUCCCCGGGCUUAACCUGGGAACUGCAUUUGAAACUGUCAGGCUGGAGUCUUGUAGAGGGGGGUAGAAUUCCAGGUGUAGCGGUGAAAUGCGUAGAGAUCUGGAGGAAUACCGGUGGCGAAGGCGGCCCCCUGGACAAAGACUGACGCUCAGGUGCGAAAGCGUGGGGAGUAAACAGGAUUAGAUACCCGAGUAGUCCCUGUCUCUUAUAC